AACGAACGCUGGCGGCAGGCUUAACACAUGCAAGUCGAACGCAUCGCAAGAUGAGUGGCAGACGGGUGAGUAACUCGUGGGAACAUACCCUUUUCUACGGAAUAGCUCUGGGAAACUGGAAUUAAUACCGUAUAUACCCUACGGGGGAAAGAUUUAUCGGGGAAGGAUUGGCCCGCGUUGGAGUAGCUAGUUGGUGGGGUAAAGGCCUAACAAGGCGACGAUCCAUAGCUGGUCUGAGAGGAUGAUCAGCCACAUUGGGACUGAGACACGGCCCAAACUCCUACGGGAGGCAGCAGUGGGGAAUAUUGGACAAUGGGCGCAAGCCUGAUCCAGCCAUGCCGCGUGAGUGAUGAAGGCCUUAGGGUUGUAAAGCUCUUUCACCGAUGAAGAUAAUGACGGUAGCCGGAGAAGAAGCCCCGGCUAACUUCGUGCCAGCAGCCGCCGUAAUAC
rnacentral:rRNA from 1 species